rnacentral:lncRNA from 1 species
GUUAACACUUAAAUGAUGAUUAAAACAAAACAGAUGCAAACCAGAGCCAGUUGCAGUUGUUCUGAUUAACAUUAACAGUUGUUAUACAAACAAUUAGUAGGGAAAGACUAUAACAUCAGUUCCGUUGGCAGGAGAAGGCACAGUCAUGGCCAAUCCAAUCCAAUUAAACCAUGUUUCCAGUUUGCAGAUGAACAGCAAAAGUGGAAAUCAGAAUAUAUCAAUACAUUGCCUUUCUCAAGGCACUGUAGUUGCAGACGAGAUCCCAGGAGAUGCAGAGGGCACUAUGAGGAGGAAAGGAUAUAUGGGCACUGCUUACUGACAGAUUCAACAUGCAGAAUGCAUUUCUGCUGGAUUUGAUAAAAAUACAAUUAAAAUUUCGUACAAGGGGGUACGCCAAAUUGGCCUGCAUCCUAGAACCCACUCCAAGCAAAACCUUGAGGAAUAUAUUGUACAAGAAAAGGUCUGUCCCCUG